GCCCUCUUGGCUUAGUGGUAAAGCGCAUCACUAGUAUUCAACUAAAGAAAAAAAUGAUGAGAUCGCUAGUUCGAUUCUGGCAGAGGGCA
rnacentral:tRNA from 1 species